CAAGUUGGCUAACAUCUGAAACAACUAGUGGGACAUGGAGGAGAGAUGCUGUGCCGCUAUCCUGGGAUCUGGGGUGGAGGGUGUGCCUCCAGCAUCUCACUGGCACGUGAACCAUUCUAUCAGGUAGCAAACUGAUGUUCUCUGUUUCUCCUUUUCGUGUGUCUGUUUGUCUCUCUUUUUCUUUCUCUCUCUGACACUUCCCCUUCAUUAGUUUAUCUAUAUGUUUAUUCAUUCAGUAUUUUUUUUUUUUUUUUUUUGAGAUGGAGUCUCACUCUGUCACCCGGGCUGCAGUGCAAUGCACAAUCUGGGCUCACUGCAAUCUCGGCCUCCUGGGUUUAAGCAAUUCCCCUGCCUCAACCUCCUGAGUAGCUGGGAUUACAGGUGCCUGCCACUACGCCCGGCUAAUUUUCUGUAAUUUUUUUGUAGUAGAGAUGAGGUUUCACCAGGUUGGCCAGGAUGGUCUCAAUCUCCUGACCUCAUGAUCUGCCCGCCUUGGCUCCCAAAGUGCUGGGAUUACAGGCAUAAGCUCAUUCAGUAUUUUUCGAGGGCUGCCUGCUAUACUAUGUCAGGUGCCGGCAUGUAGCGGUAAGGAAAGGAGACAUGGUUCCUGUCCUCAGGUGAUUGUGAGUCUACAAUUCAACUUGAAAGAAAUACUUAUUUAAGUAUAAUUGUUGCAGUGCUAGGAAAGGUCCUAUCAGAAGGCGGAAAGAGGGCUCUAUCCUGGUCUGAGGGGUCAGGAAAAACUAUCCGGAGGAACUGACAUUGACUAGCUCCUAUCUUUCAGGCCCG
rnacentral:lncRNA from 1 species